GAUGAACGCUAGCGGCAGGCCUAAUACAUGCAAGUUGAACGGGAUUCAAGGAACCUAGCAAUAGGGGAAUUGAUGAGAGUAGCGCACGGGUGCGUAACACGUAUGCAACCUACCUUUAACCGGGACAUAACCUCGAGAAAUUGAAGCUAAUAUCCCAUGUGAUUACCCGAAGGCAUCUUUGGGCAAUUAAAAUUCAGAUGGUUAAAGAUGGGCAUGCGUCCCAUUAGCUAGUUGGUGAGGUAACGGCUCACCAAGGCCACGAUGGGUAGG
rnacentral:rRNA from 1 species